rnacentral:rRNA from 1 species
UACGAAGGGGGCUAGCGUUGCUCGGAAUUACUGGGCGUAAAGGGCGCGUAGGCGGCGCAUUUAGUCAGGCGUGAAAUUCCUGGGCUUAACCUGGGGACUGCGCUUGAGACGGGUGUGCUUGAGGACGGAAGAGGCUCGCGGAAUUCCCAGUGUAGAGGUGAAAUUCGUAGAUAUUGGGAAGAACACCGGUGGCGAAGGCGGCGAGCUGGUCCGUAUCUGACGCUGAGGCGCGACAGCGUGGGGAGCAAACAGG